rnacentral:ncRNA from 1 species
UACCCGGGCCGUGACUGGCGCUGAGGUGGAGUACCACCGGGGAGCGGCCCGGGAGAGAUGCCGCGCGCCUGGGCGAGAGAG